rnacentral:rRNA from 1 species
UGGAGAGUUUGAUCCUGGCUCAGGACGAACGCUGGCGGCGUGCUUAACACAUGCAAGUCGAACGAUGAAGCCCAGCUUGCUGGGUGGAUUAGUGGCGAACGGGUGAGUAACACGUGGGUGAUCUGCCCUGCACUUCGGGAUAAGCCUGGGAAACUGGGUCUAAUACCGGAUAGGACCUCGGGAUGCAUGUUCCGGGGUGGAAAGGUUUUCCGGUGCAGGAUGGGCCCGCGGCCUAUCAGCUUGUUGGUGGGGUAACGGCCCACCAAGGCGACGACGGGUAGCCGGCCUGAGAGGGCGACCGGCCACACUGGGACUGAGACACGGCCCAGACUCCUACGGGAGGCAGCAGUGGGGAAUAUUGCACAAUGGGCGCAAGCCUGAUGCAGCGACGCCGCGUGAGGGAUGACGGCCUUCGGGUUGUAAACCUCUUUCAGUACCGACGAAGCGCGAGUGACGGUAGGUACAGAAGAAGCACCGGCCAACUACGUGCCAGCAGCCGCGGUA